UUCAAAAUUACAAAGUCUUGAGUUUAAAUAAAAAAUAAAUAAAAUAUAAAACUAAGACAAUUUUGUGUCUUACAUACAAGUUGGUAUUUACUUUAUUAUGUUGUUUGCACAUUGGCAUUAUACAAUUGAAAUGGGUGUAUCCACUACCACAUGUCCUCUUUUUCCCCAAAAUGUACAAUUUUCAUACCUUGUGAUAAGCUCUCCACCUCAGUCUAGUUAAGGCUCAACAAAGUUCCUCAAAAAAAAUGUUGUGGAUGAUUUGAACCUAAAAUUCAAACUAUAAGAAGCUAAAAAAAAGGCAAUGUGGGGAAAGCACAAGAAGAUUCAACACAUAAAAUUAAAAAAAAAAAUUGCUUCUGUGAGUUCUUCUGAGUCAUGAGCGAGCAAUGAUACGUGUGUAUAUAAACUCAUUCCACGUAUCCGGCAAUCCAGGCAGACACCAAUGUAUACAAUCCGCAUAGGUCGCCGGAUCGGCUUGCUGUUCCGGGGUUAGCAUCUUUCCUUGGCGGAUGGUGUGGACAGAGGUAUGUGCAUCUUUUCUAUAUUCAGAGAGGGUGGUAAUGUUGAUAAAAUGGACAGGUACUUUCAUUGAUUGUGUCAAAUUUGCUGCUAUAACGAAUAGCCUACGGUCUGUGCCCACAUUCAAAGGCAUACUUGUAUUGAGCACUGGAGUGGUCUCCUUAGCACAUUUUAUCCCAUCUGGGUUGUCCCAAUCCAAGCUCCUACAAAUUCAAGAUAAAUAAUCAUUUAAAAAAUUAUCAAGAAUCAUUAAGGGAUAAUGAUGUGAUUAGUGGGUUACCCACUACAGGUUAUAUGCAUAAUAAUCAAUUAAAUUUGUCAAAUCAUGCUUUGUAAUCACAGACUGACUACCAAUAAUCACCUAAUAUACCUAAUGGGAUUAAUUUGGCACCAUUAUACAACUUUUUGGGCAAUUAUUAGACUGAAAAUAUGGUGUAAAAGUGAGCUAAUUAAAUCCCUUUGGGCCUGCAUUUUGAUAGAAAAAAAUAAUUAAAUUAAAUUAGUAACCCUAAUUUUAUUAUUAUUAUUGUAUCUUAAUUGAAGUGAAUUUCUAGGUAUUAUAUCUUAAUUCCAAUUAAGAAAAAAACAAAAAGCACACAUAGAAAUAAUAGUCUUUAAUUAACUUAUAAGAUGAAAUUAAGAUAUAAUUAAGAAUUAAUUACUUGAUAUGGAGAGGAGACAUGCUACUGAAGAAGACCAUGGUACGAUUAGGAUCUACAUUUUCAUCUACCCACUUAGACCAUGUUGUCAAAACUCUCCUAUAUGCUACUGGCCGUUGGAUCUCAUCAUAUUCAGUGGCUCCUUCAUCGAACGAUCCACGUAGAACUUUCAUGGAGAAAGUGUUCAUCCACCAUAUGUAUGUGUUAAAGAUGAGGUAGCGCACACCCUUCCAGUUUUCUCCAUGCUUGUUGAUGGAUUCAGGCAUGAUUACACGGUCUAAUAUGCUAUGCUUCUGUGGAUUGUCCGAAUUCGAUUCAACUAGAAAUGGUGACCAGUAAAACUCUAUUGUAGGAUUAUAGUCCUAAAUUAACAUCAGAAUCAACUGUAAAAAGACACAGAAUUUUAAUAUGGGGCCACAAAAUUAGCCAGUCCCCAGGGUAUUUAUUAAAAGAGAAGUGUGCACCUCAAUUCUGAAAAUAGAAAAAGAGCCUGAUUCACUCAGACUCUUCUGCCCUGGAGGGAUUGCAGAUUGCACUAGGCAAACCAUGGAUUCCCAUUGGUUUCUAUUCAGUGAAUCUCCAACAAACAUAAGCCUCUUUCCACGGAGUUUCUCCAGCAGCAAUCUUGGUCUGAACCUUUUUUUAACACCUAAACUAACCACUAACAGAGGAAGAAAUAUGUAACCAGAUGCAAGAUUUAAAAACACAGACUUACUUGGGCAAAGAACAAUCUCUGGGUUGCCAUCUCCAAUUCUGAUAUAAAGAAUCUUGUCUUCCAUUUCUCAAACAGGUCACCUGCCUUGAGAGAAACUCACAUUCUUUCUCUCUGUACAAAGGGUGAGUGACAUUGUCAAGAACCCAUUUCCCUGUGUAAAAAUCGCAGUCCUUUGGUGGCAAUAAAACUUCCAGUUCGUCUUCUUUCUCAUGGAUUUCUGGAAAUUUAAUUCCUGAUAAGAAGACUGAUUCUGCUAUUGACUUCAAAUUCUCACUGUACAUGAAACAUUUAAAGAGCAAGAUGAAGAAAACAAGCAAUAGCAUGGAAGAGUUCAUCCAUUUAUGGCUGAAUCUGGAAGAAAGUUUCAUUGACUGCAUUAGAAAAUUUACAAGCAGGGCAAACUGAUAGUGAUGACUGAUGAGAUAAAGAGUCUAAGGAUAUGAACCUUCAAAAAAUCUCAAUUAUUGUUUAGAGCCAAGCUGAAUCAAAUAUUGAAAUAAAAACUCUAUCGAAAUCUGAUAUUUUUUUCAAAUCUAACCAAUGAAACUCCAUACUGAAAUUAUUGGGUCAAUUCAUACAUUGAUGGGAGA
rnacentral:misc_RNA from 1 species